rnacentral:lncRNA from 1 species
AGAAAGAGUGUUGGGGCAUGGAGAUAUAAUAGACACAAAACUAGGUGUCUAGGUGAGAGCAAAGAGAAGAAGAAGAGGAUCUUCUUCUAGGGUUGCUGAGUUCACCUCCUUCCUUCCUCCAUCUGUGAGUUUUCUGAGAGUGUCUCAUAUCUAAAACUUCUUCUCCUACUUCUCAUCUUUAGAAGAAUCUAAAUCAAGAAGAAAGAGGUAUCUGAUCGACCAUCGAAAAAGGAUCAACACAGUACUAGCAUACUGUGCUGAUUUCCUGGACCAGGACUUCUGAUCAUGAUUCGUGGACUUAUGUGGAUGAAUCCUAGAGGUCGGAUGCAUGUGUGGCUUGCAAUAUCAUCC